CGAGACACGGCCCAGACUCCUACGGGAGGCAGCAGUGGGGAAUAUUGGACAAUGGGCGCAAGCCUGAUCCAGCCAUGCCGCGUGUGUGAAGAAGGCCUUAUGGUUGUAAAGCACUUUAAGCGAGGAGGAGGCUACUUUAGUUAAUACCUAGAGAUAGUGGACGUUACUCGCAGAAUAAGCACCGGCUAACUCUGUGCCAGCAGCCGCGGUAAUACAGAGGGUGCAAGCGUUAAUCGGAUUUACUGGGCGUAAAGCGCGCGUAGGCGGCUAAUUAAGUCAAAUGUGAAAUCCCCGAGCUUAACUUGGGAAUUGCAUUCGAUACUGGUUAGCUAGAGUGUGGGAGAGGAUGGUAGAAUUCCAGGUGUAGCGGUGGAAUGCGUAGAGAUCUGGAGGAAUACCGAUGGCGAAGGCAGCCAUCUGGCCUAACACUGACGCUGAGGUGCGAAAGCAUGGGGAGCAAACAGGAUUAGAUACCCUGGUAGUCCAUGCCGUAAAC
rnacentral:rRNA from 1 species